AAUUGUCCUCACCUGCUGCUUCUCUCUCCCGCCGUUGUUCUCUCUCUACUCUCUAACGGCUGCAUCUAUCUCGCGCGUACUCUCCUCUAGUUCAAGCGUUAUUUAUGAACAAACUUGUGAGAUCUAAGCAUCUUCUCUCUUUCCGUAUUCUUCUCGGUAUCUUUAAUUAAGUAGAAAGUUUGCAGCUUUUUUAUAUUUAUUGCUUCGAUGAUAAAUUGUCGCCAUAAAUGUUGUUUUUGUUCAAUUUGUUGAGUUUGACAUAAGUAAUUUGGCUUAUAUAUGAGUUUUGUGUAUAUCAUGAAUUUUGUUAAAAUUAAUCUGAUGUUGUGUUUUAUUUCAUAUUGUUUUGUAUCGAAGUAUGUUAACCUUUAGUAUUCCGAUCUAAUGUUCUAUUGAUUAACACUUUUUUGUUCGCUGUUUAUGUGUUCAGUUUUCAGGUAAUUUAGUUUUUUCCGUUUAAAAGUUGAUCACUUCAGAAUUAGUGAAGAUUAGUAACAAUCAAGGUAAAUAUUAGUGAUUAGUGUGAUUAUUAAGAGUUAAUUAGUGUGAUUAUUAAGUGAUAAUUAUUGUGAUUAUUUUUGUUAUUAUGAUUUAUAUGAUUUCUGUGAUGAUUAACUAAUUACUACUGUGAGUACUAUGAUUAUUAACUAUUUACUGUUGUGGUUAAAUUCAACGGCAUCAUGGUGGUUUGGAUGCAUCAUGAUGUGACUUCUUGUAAGAGUUGGCAUUUCAGUAAGAGAGUUGCUCUAUGAGAGACAAUUAAAAAUUAUAAUUCAAAGUGUAUAUCUGUUGGGAGGCUUCAAGGACCUGCAAUUUUUAGAAGUUUCUGGGAUUGCUGCAUUGUUGCCUGAUUUCUUUGCCACCAUUCGGUUCAUAACUUGGGUGGUAGCUCUCUUGAUUGAUUUAGAGGUGGAGCAGCUGUGUGGGAGGUCUGGCACUCAUAAAUCAUAAUCAGUGGAGUGAUUGCUUUUUAUCUAUAGGGAGGUGUUCACUUGUGUUCAUUAGGUUGGAUUUUUUUUUCUUUUCUCCGUUGGAGGCUUUGUAUUUUCAAUUUUUAGUUCUGUUUUGGUAUUGCCUCUUUGAGUGUUGUUCUUGGGGGGAUUUUUUUUAAGUGGACUCUUUGUAUAUUUUUUCUUUUUAUGUUAUAAAGUCAAUAUGAUGUG